UAAGAAGAGAGAAUGCCGGAAUGAGUAGCGAGAGAAAGGUGGGAAUCCUUUCGGCCGAAUAUCUAAGGUUUCCAGAGUAAAGCUGAUCUGCUCUGGGUAAGUCGGGGCCUAAGCACAGGUCGCAAGACGUAAGCGAUGGAUAACAGGUUUAGAUUCCUGUACCACGCAUUAUCAGAACUGUAGGGACGCAUGUGGAAAGCACGGGCCGGGAAUGGAAAGACCGGUACAAGCGGGGUAGGUGUACAAUAGGCAAAUCCGUUGUAUAAUCCGAAGACGUGAUGUGGAGCGAAAUAAAGUAGUGAAGCGUGUGAGCCAUGUGCCGAGAAAAGCUGCUAUUGUGUAAUGCGUGCCCGUACCGUAAACCGACACAGGUGGAUGAGGAGAGAAUCCUAAGGCCGGCGGAAGAAGCAUUGUUAAGGAAUUCGGCAAAAUGACCCCGUAACUUCGGGAGAAGGGGUGCCUGCGAGAGCAGGCCGCAGAGAAUAGGCUCAAGCAACUGUUUAGCAAAAACACAGGUCUAUGCGAAACCGAAAGGUGAAGUAUAUGGGCUGACGCCUGCCCGGUGCUGGAAGGUUAAGAGGAGAGGUUAGCUUCGGCGAAGCUUUGAAUUUAAGCCCCAGUAAACGGCGGCCGUAACAAUAACGGUCCUAAGGUAGCGAAAUUCCUUGUCGGGUAAGUUCCGACCCGCACGAAAGGCGUAAUGAUUUGAGCACUGUCUCGACAAUGCAUCCGGUGAAAUUGAAGUACCAGUGAAGAUGCUGGUUACCCGCGCCAGGACGGAAAGACCCCAUGGAGCUUUACUCCAGUUUGAUACUGGGAUUCGGUACUGCAUGUACAGGAUAGGUGGGAGACGAAGAAGGAUGGACGCCAGUCUGUCCGGAGUCGCUGUUGGGAUACCACCCCUGUAGUACUGGGUUUCUAACCAGUUGCCAUGAACUGGCAAUGGGACAAUGUCAGGCGGGGAGUUUGACUGGGGCGGUCGCCUCCGAAAGGGUAUCGGAGGCGCUCAAAGGUUCCCUCAGAAUGGUUGGAAACCAUUUGAAGAGUGCAAAGGCAGAAGGGAGCUUGACUGCGACACCGACGGGUGGAGCAGGUACGAAAGUAGGACUUAGUGAUCCGGUGGUAUAAAGUGGGAUUGCCAUCGCUCAACGGAUAAAAGCUACCCUGGGAUAACAGGCUUAUCACUCCCAAGAGUUCACAUCGACGGAGUGGUUUGGCACCUCGAUGUCGGCUCAUCGCAUCCUGGGGCUGUAGCAGGUCCCAAGGGUUGGGCUGUUCGCCCAUUAAAGCGGUACGCGAGCUGGGUUCAGAACGUCGUGAGACAGUUCGGUCCCUAUCCGGCGCGGGCGGAGGAUAUUUGAGAGGAGCUGUCCUUAGUACGAGAGGACCGGGAUGGACGGACCACUGGUGUAUCUGUUGUCGACCAACGGCAUGGCAGAGUAGCCAAGUCUGGAAGGGAUAAACGCUGAAGGCAUCUAAGCGUGAAGCCCCCCUCAAGAUGAGAUAUCCCUCCUUCGGGAGUAAGACCCCUUGAAGACUACAAGGUAGAUAGGGCAGAGGUGGAAGCAUGGCAACAUGUGGAGCUGACUGUUACUAAUAGGUCGAGGGCUUAAUGA
rnacentral:rRNA from 1 species